rnacentral:rRNA from 1 species
UACGUAGGGUGCAAGCGUUGUCCGGAAUUACUGGGCGUAAAGAGUUCGUAGGCGGUUUGUCGCGUCGUUUGUGAAACCAGCAGCUCAAACUGCUGGCUUGCAGGCGAUACGGGCAGACUUGAGUGACUGCAGGGGAGACUGGAAUUCCUGGUGUAGCGGUGAAAUGCGCAGAUAUCAGGAGGAACACCGGUGGCGAAGGCGGCCUGCUGGGCCGGAGGUGUAGCGAGUACACCGUUAGCUGACGCUGAGGCGCGACAGCGUGGGGAGCAAACAGG